AAUGGUGGUUGUAGCCUAGGUAUUCUACCUCCUCCCAUUCCGAACAGAGAAGUUAAGCCCUACAGCGUAGAUGGUACUGUAUUUGUGGGAGAGUAGGUAGCCGCCUUUG
rnacentral:rRNA from 1 species